AAACUUAAAGGAAUUGACGGGGGCCCGCACAAGCAGCGGAGCAUGUGGUUUAAUUCGAAGCAACGCGAAGAACCUUACCUAGACUUGACAUCCCCUGAAUUACCUGUAAUGAGGGAAGCCCUUCGGGGCAGGGAGACAGGUGGUGCAUGGUUGUCGUCAGCUCGUGUCGUGAGAUGUUAGGUUAAGUCCUGCAACGAGCGCAACCCUUAUCAUUAGUUGCUACCAUUAAGUUGAGCACUCUAGUGAGACUGCCCGGGUUAACCGGGAGGAAGGUGGGGAUGACGUCAAAUCAUCAUGCCCCUUAUGUCUAGGGCUACACACGUGCUACAAUGGUGAGUACAGAAAGAUGCAAGACCGUGAGGUGGAGCAAAACUUUUAAAACUCAUCUCAGUUCGGAUUGUAGGCUGAAACUCGCCUACAUGAAGCUGGAGUUGCUAGUAAUCGCGAAUCAGCAUGUCGCGGUGAAUACGUUCCCGGGCCUUGUACACACCGCCCGUCACACCAUGAGAGCUGGCAACACCCGAAGUCCGUGAGGUAACCGUAAGGAGCCAGCGGCCGAAGGUGGGGUUAGUAAUUGGGGUGAAGUCGUAACAAGGUAGCCGUAGGAGAACCUGCGGCUGGAUCACCUCCUUUCUG
rnacentral:rRNA from 1 species